rnacentral:rRNA from 1 species
UACGUAGGUGGCAAGCGUUGUCCGGAAUUACUGGGUGUAAAGCGCGUGUAGGCGGGAGGCCAAGUCUGCUGUGAAAUCGCUCGGCUCAACUGGGCGGGGUCGGUGGAAACUGGUCACCUGGAGGACGGUAGAGGCGAGUGGAAUUCCCGGUGUAGUGGUGAAAUGCGUAGAGAUCGGGAGGAACACCAGUGGCGAAGGCGGUUCUCUGGGCAUGACCUGACGCUGAGGAGCGAAAGCAUGGGGAGCGAACAGG